UUGCCAGACUCCUACGGGAGGCAGCAGUCGGGAAUAUUGCGCAAUGGAGGAAACUCUGACGCAGUGACGCCGCGUAUAGGACGAAGGUCUUCGGAUUGUAAACUAUUGUCGUUAGGGAAGAGAAAGGACAGUACCUAAGGAGGAAGCUCCGGCUAACUACGUGCCAGCAGCCGCGGUAAUACGUAGGGGGCAAGCGUUAUCCGGAAUUACUGGGUGUAAAGGGUGAGUAGGCGGCAUGGUAAGCCAGAUGUGAAAGCCUUGGGCUUAACCCGAGGAUUGCAUUUGGAACUAUCAAGCUAGAGUACAGGAGAGGAAAGCGGAAUUCCUAGUGUAGCGGUGAAAUGCGUAGAUAUUAGGAAGAACACCAGUGGCGAAGGCGGCUUUCUGGACUGAAACUGACGUUGAGGCACGAAAGCGUGGGGAGCGAACAGGAUUAGAUACCCGAGUAA
rnacentral:rRNA from 1 species